rnacentral:lncRNA from 1 species
AAUAGUUCAAGGUAUGUUUCCGCAAAAGUUCCCCACGUUGAUAGCCUUCGAUCUCAGCCGUGUAACCAUAAUUCGACGGAGAUCGGUGGGCUGAUUAGGAUCACGAUUGAUCCAUUUUUAGGGACGUAAACGGAAAUAUUGGAUUGUACGACGGCCGUACCAGAAAAGCUCAUCCACAGUCAUUCCUCGGUGAAAUUUCCCAAUUUCCUUUUCCCUUUCUGAAUUGAGAAUUGAGAGGUCGGCGAAAAUUUCCUUCCACCGAGGCGUGCAAGCACGAUGCACGAACCAACGGUCCAAUGUGCGAAAUCGCGGCCCUUCUCUGGCCCGGAUGCUUCCAGCGCCGCCGCCGUUCGCCGUCGCCGAGAGGGUGGAACCGAUUCACCUUCCAGCGAGGAUAGCAGCCUCCGAGACGGGCUCUUCUCGGGCGGAAGGAUGAGCCGUCAGCCGUGUGCCUCGGCAUAACUCACUGCUAGAACUAGUAGCCUGGAACCGGCGGGGCGGAUGGAGUGGCUCCGGGCCGACGCUCGUGCGAGCUCAGAGUCCGUUGGUUCGUGCUGAAGACAAUCAGGUAUCGGGGUUGUUAGCUCUGUCUUCUCGCAUUCACGCGCGCUUCUAUUAGUUCUCUAUGCUUUGAUUCCUUUGCUGCAUGCGUCGGAACUGUUUGAUGUAUUUCCUCACUGGGUUCGUGCCGCGCUCUACCACUCCACUAUGGAGUGAUCGAGAUAGAUAGGUUCAAAUGUAGUGAGAUGCUCUGUUCUGGAUUAUAUUAGUCGAAAUGCUUUAGUAGUUGUACUUAUUUGUUCGCAAGGAUUUUAGCAGUCAUACUUAUUCGUGCAUGCAGCAUGCACAUCAAUAUCUAUCUAAUGCACUAGUUUUUAAAUUACCUGCAAAUUGUUUUUCUGGUGGCGAUGAGAGAGGGAUUAUUUAUGCCAAAAUUAUGUAAAGCCACAUGUAUCUUAGCAUACAGACCACAGAUCUGAUAUUGAUAUGUGAAAGCCAAAUAAGACCGAGAUUUGAGAUCACUUCGAACAGUAAUCUAUGUUAUGCUCUAAGUACUAAAAAUGCUAUAGAGGUGAAAUUUGCAUUAAACUUCACUUUUAGUUCUCUAACAGCACCACAACAGAUAAACCUUAGAUGCAUCAUGCUCGUGCACAUGGCCCAAUCCAAAUACCAGCGCAUACAUAUACAGAUCGAAUAACACACAGUGUAAAAGGUUUGCUGAAAGAGACGUGCUGAACAAUAUGAAUCUACACACAGGUACGGUUUGCACCGUAGACUCAAAACAUAGACAGAUAGUGGUCCUUAUGGAAGUUAGACCAGUGGCCUGUUGUAAUUGGCUUCUAGCAUUAAACGGAGGCGGCUCACCACUUCUGUGAAAGUUGGUCUUUUCUCAGGCUCGUUUGACCAGCACUGCUCCAUGAGUUCCCUCCAUUGGGGAUCACAUGAUACUGGUAUUGGUGGCCUCAAUGUGUUGCUCAAAAUUCCUCCUGCAAAUUUUCAGUUUGUGAUCAGGAACGCAGAUAGUGUUAGAGCAGAGGAUAUCCUUUAUAAUAACUUCAUAAUGUUUUAAGCAAACCUAUAACUCCUCCAUGGUGCAUGCCAGCAUAUGGCUCCUCGCCCGUGAGUAUUUCCCACAUUAUGAUUCCAAAAGAAUACACAUCAACCUAUCAUAGUGUCAGAUAAAGGCACAUUUAAUUGUAGAUAAUACAGAUAACUAAGUCUGAAGAAUUAGUUUUCUUUUCUUCUUCACUUAAGCAACUUGAAUAUGCAGAAAUAGCUGAGGCGAAACAUAACCCUCCUGAAUAACAGAGUUAGUCAACUCAAUUAUCUUAGUACCAAAAUCACAAUUCAGUUGUUGGUUUUCAGCUUAUUGAGUGCCAUAUGAGAAACACAGAUAAUGCCACAGCGCAUGUUCUGCUUUGUAAUACCAUUAAUUUUUGGGGUCAUCAAGAUAGGUUGUGAGUACUACCUUGGUUGAUACCAUAUUGCUGCUCAUUUCAAGCAUUUCAGGAGCCAUCCAUGGAAGAGUUCCUCUCAUUCCAACAGAGACCAUUGUAGUCUGUUUCACCUUGGACAAACCAAAAUCAGCUACCUGCAGUCAAGUUUACCGGUUGCUUUAUUUCAGCUCACAUGGAAAGGAAGGGGCCAUUUAUACAUUUCUUCUGACUCAUUUUAUACCAACA